GACCGCCUUGGAUCCGGUGAUCGCGUCGCUGCCCACGAUGAUGUCGCCGCGCGGGGUGGCGAACUGGGUGAUCUUCACCCGGCGGUUC
rnacentral:tRNA from 1 species